UUUAAGAGUCUGACUGUCCUGUCUGACAAACUGUUUUCUGUUUAUAUUAGUUGUUAUUCACCAUUCACAUUGUUUUCGUAUUGACAAGCUGAUAAACCGGAAUAAAAAUGAAAAAACAUUUGGCACUGAUUGUUUUGUAGCAGCCCCUCAUUAACUAAUUAAAUGACAUUUUCACUACAUAGCUCAGUGAAGAAGCCCCUUACAAAUAUACGUGAAGCUUUAAAUAUAUUGUAUUCUAAUAUUACGUUGCGGUAUCAGACGUCAUUGCUGUGGCCCCGCCCAGGUAGCGCAAUAUCCUUACAUGGAGUUUCUUUGUUCUGCUGUCAUUGGUCGAAACUCGGAUUUCCGGCAAUUUCAAAAGUGGUUCCACGCUUUUGCAGCUGUGUGAUUUAUUUUAAACCCUUUAUAUAACAUAAUUAGGCUUAUGUUUUUGCCAUUUUAAAUGGGUGACACAAGUGAAGUCCAAACUCCCAUUUGGACUUUAGAGAACCAGAGAAGACAGCCAUGCGCUAGGGAUUGGAAAAGGACGUUGUCAGCCAAGGAAGAGCAGCCUCUACCCGAGAACCACGGCAGGGUCCUGCGGUGAGUUCGGCUUUUCAGGUCACUGCAAAGAGGAAGCUCCUUCACCUUCCUCACCCCAGGGCCACAGUGGGACUUCAGUCUGGCAAGUGCAGACCUCGUAUUUUUCUAGUUUGCAUUGCAUAUUAGGCCACAUAGAAAGCACAAACAUACAGUUUGGCUAGUUCAUCACUAAUUUUAAAGGGUGGGUUGGAAAUAGAAAAAACACUUAAAAGGUGGUCCACUCAUAAAGUGCCAACAGCAAGAAAAUUAGCCACUCAUUUUUGUUUAACAUGUAACACACAUUGCAUGCAUAAAAUAUACAGUUUGCAUCCUUGGUUCCUGUCCAUGCAUGUCUCCAAGGUGUCUCCUGGCUGACUUCUGUCCUAUCGAGCAAACCGAAGCACUUCUCAUCAUAAUAGUGUGUUUUUUGGCUUUGAAACUCAUCUCAAGAGUUUUCUUGUAAAUGGUAGUGUUAUUUAUUGUCACCAUGAUGAAAGGUUGUUUCUUGUUGGCCCACAGCCACAUUAACUCAGAGAAGCCAUCCAGACUGGAGGACAAAUGUCUUCUUUACUUAUACUUGCGAUGAAGACAGAUCCACAAGCACCAACUGUCAGAUGAGCUGAUGAAAAUAUAC